rnacentral:rRNA from 1 species
GACGAACGCUGGCGGCGUGCUUAGCACAUGCAAGUCGAACGGAAAGGCCCUGCUUUUGUGGGGUGCUCGAGUGGCGAACGGGUGAGUAACACGUGAGUAACCUGCCCUUGACUUUGGGAUAACUUCAGGAAACUGGAGCUAAUACCGGAUAGGAGCUCCUGCUGCAUGGUGGGGGUUGGAAAGUUUCGGCGGUUGGGGAUGGACUCGCGGCUUAUCAGCUUGUUGGUGGGGUAGUGGCUUACCAAGGCUUUGACGGGUAGCCGGCCUGAGAGGGUGACCGGCCACAUUGGGACUGAGAUACGGCCCAGACUCCUACGGGAGGCAGCAGUGGGGAAUAUUGCACAAUGGGCGGAAGCCUGAUGCAGCAACGCCGCGUGCGGGAUGACGGCCUUCGGGUUGUAAACCGCUUUCGCCUGUGACGAGGCGUGAGUGACGGUAAUGGGUAAAGAAGCACCGGCUAACUACGUG